rnacentral:lncRNA from 1 species
GGCGGACUGUCAUUAAAAGCGGACACUGAUUGGUCCAAUUUAAAGUUUGCAUUAUAACGGCUGCAUGACGACAGCGAAAUAGCAGAGGCGAAAUAGCAAACAUUUGACAUUUCUUGAUUUGAUGAGUUGAUGAUUGACAAAUUUCUUGCAAAUAUUCUUCAUUUUUGCUCGUAUUUCUGCAAGAUUUUGUAAAUUUCAAGAAAGAAAGGGCGAAAGAAUCAGCUAAAAGAAGGGAGCCGACGUUAACAAAGGUAAGUUUGUUUUAAAUAUUGAUUUUAUAAUGGCUUUAAAACCCGUCGGCCUUUGCGUAUAUGAAACAACUAAACAAGACAGCAUAUAAUUUCAGUGUAUCUUUAAUAUUGAUUCCCUUUUUUAUUAUAUUGAAUUUUUUAAAUAAAAAUAAAGCAAAGUUAUUUGCAAGCGAGAAUUUGAAAUCAUUUUAUUGCAAAACUCAAAGUUUAUCGAUAAAGCCAUUUAAUAGUUAAAGGCAGUUUAGUUUUAUAAAGAACACUUUAAAACGUUUUGUGAAUUGUUUGUGGUUGAAUUUUACCUUAAAUUGAAGCUUGUAUUACGUAUAAUUACAUACCUAACAUAAAUAUGUUGGGAAAUUGAUAAUUUUGUAAUUAAAAGUGAUAUUUUUAGGCGAUUUUUCAUUUGUAUUAAGAAUAUUCUUAAAAAAUUAUCGUGUUACCAUGACAACUACUUUAGAUACUUCAUGUUCGUAAAAUACAACGGUUUUGUCAGCAAUGCGAGGGUUUCUGCACGCAUGUAUUUUCUAGUAUUAUAUUAUAUGCAACUGAUUAUUACCUGCUUCUUAAAAUUGCCAGUAUUAAUUUCAUACAUUCGAGUGCCUCAAUACGGUAAUGCCUUCGUAGCCUGUUCAUGCAUAUAUAGAAGCCAGACUGUCCUGCAGACAGUACGAGAUGCGGGAUGAAUUUCUCUUGUGUUUAUAUGAGAAAAAUUCAUCCCGCUUGCCGGGAACAAAUUUGUUAUUCUGUUUGAUAUAUUUUAUUGUUUUGACAGUAAGUUAAAAAUAGCUUGCGGCGAUAUAUUUGAACUUUCAUCCUGGAAAACGGCCUAUAGCCCGCUCGUGAGUGUUUAGAUGCAGAAAUUUCCAUCCCAGUAAGCGAGAUCUCGCCUCUUUCGACCAAGAUCUCGGCAAUCUGGCAGCCCGCUUGUCUAUAUAAAUGCGCAGCAAUUUUUACUAUAAAAAUAACUACACAGUGUGAGCGAGAUCUUGCUUGGGUUUAGGGCUUUUGAUUUGGCAAAUAAUCCUAUAGUACGCUGCUAUAGUUGUACAUUAUACUGCUUAUGAUCUAUCUAUCUUGUCAUAGUUACAAUACAAAAUCCGCAAGUUUUAGGCCUAAGGCUAAGCAAGGUAGGUAUGAUCUAUCUAUCUUGUCAUAGUUACAAUACAAAAUCCGCAAGUUUUAGGCCUAAGGCCUACCUUGCUUAGCCUUAGGCCUAAAACUUGCGGAUUUUGUAUCGUAACUAUGACAAGAUAGAUAGAUCAUAAGCAGUAUAAUGUACAACUAUAGCAGCGUACUAUAGGAUUAUUUGCCAAAUCAAAAGCCCUAAACCCAACUCUUUGCGUGCCUAGAGUUUAAGGUUUUCGAAGAUAACCUUUUUUCAAUUAGCUGUUACCAUACAAUAUAAUGUUGCUAAUAUUAUCUGUGUUCAUUUUUAGAAACUGGCAAGAACAUUCAAACAUCCCAAUAAAGUUAACUGGAGCCAGGAAAGAGUGUCAAAGGUGGCAGAUGGCCUCCGACGAUGGAGUACAUGUCAUCCGACAAAAGUGAGCUAGAUAGACGAAGAAACUUACAGGGUGAAAUAGUACAACGUGCGAAAGUUUGCCUGGGAAAGCAAAGAAGAAUCGAUAAAGAAUCACUAGGAUUUUCUGCCUGGACUAUCAAGGAGAGUCAUGACUCAUAAUAGCAAGGGGAACCAUCGAACCUGGCAAACCAGCGAACACGGCCAACUGUCCAUGCAGAUUGGUCACAUAUGAGGUUGAAAAUGGACGAGCGCAAGUCGCAGAUGUUGACACAAAUCCGCCACUAUAUAGAGGGAAUGAGCUCGUUAUUUACUCGAAAUACAUUAUGAAACAGCUACCAGUUAGGACCAGCGCUAAAAAUUUAAGGAUUUGCAUCAUUCGCUUGGCUUUGCCCGCUCUGCAUGUUUUAGUCUUAAUUGCCUUUUACCGUUUCCAGGGCAAUAUAAGUGAAUUUAGCUGUGUACACUGUAAAGUGUACAAUCGACUACAGAAUAACAUUUUAGAAUAACAUUUUAGUACGUUCAAAACCGACUACAGAAUAACAUUUUAGAGUUGAUUAUACAGACUCCUUGAAAUUUACAGUGUAUUGC